UCUGCCUGCCUGAGUUGGUAAUUGUAGGAGAGUAAAUGAUGUCCUUUAACCUGCUUGCGGCCAUAUAUGAACAUAUGUCCAGUGAUGUCUCUUCUGAAAAAUGGUGGAGUUGGUCCGACUUCUAAGGGGAGCCUGAACCCCACCAUUACAGUCCAUCCUAGAAGCUUCAGAAUUGGGGUGGGGUAUUAAGAGAGGAGUUUAAUCCCCUACUUUGUUGAGAUGUCUGAAAGGGGACUCUCACUUUGCUGAUUUGAAAGUGGAAAAUUGCGAGCUUUCAUGUAAUGGAGUGAGUCAACUUGUAGGUGUUCUUUCAACUUUAAAGAGGCCACUGGAUUCUCUAUCUAUUGGAGAAAAUGGCCUUGGCAGCAAAGUUGGAGCACCUUUGGGAAAAUUUUUAGGCAUAGGUAUUCAAGCACUGGAAAUUGAAGAUAUUGGGCUUGGUUCAUCUGGCUUUCUGGAACUACAGAAAGAAAUAGGAG